rnacentral:rRNA from 1 species
GACGGAGGAUGCAAGCGUUAUCCGGAAUUAUUGGGCGUAAAGCGUCCGCAGGUGGCUGUUCAAGUCUGCUGUCAAAGCGCAGAGCUUAACUCUGUACAGGCGGUGGAAACUGAAGAGCUGAGAGUAUGGUGAGGGGUGAGAGGGAAUUCCCGGUGUAGCGGUGAAAUGCGUAGAUAUCGGGAAGAACACCAGUAGCGGAAGGCGGCUCGCUGGGCCACACCGUGACGCUGAGACGCGAAAGCUAGGG